GGCCUCGUAGCUCAGCUGGUAGAGCAUGCGCGUACAAAGAACAGGCGGCAUCCAUGCGUGAGUUCGAAUCCCACCGAGGCUA
rfam:Echinostoma caproni strain Egypt genome assembly, scaffold: ECPE_scaffold0001311